rnacentral:miRNA from 1 species
ACACAAUGGAAAGACUGCUUGU